CGGGUGAGUAACACGUGGGUGAUCUGCCCUGCACUUCGGGAUAAGCCUGGGAAACUUGGUCUAAUACCGGAUAGGAGCCAUUUUUAGUGUGAUGGUUGGAAAGUUUUUUCGGUGUAGGAUGAGCUCGCGGCCUAUCAGCUUGUUGGUGGGGUAAUGGCCUACCAAGGCGGCGACGGGUAGCCGGCCUGAGAGGGUGGACGGCCACAUUGGGACUGAGAUACGGCCCAG
rnacentral:rRNA from 1 species